CGAACUAUACUUAGGGUUGAUAUUAUUUACAUUAAUAUUUAUAUCUGUGCGAUUCAGAUUAGUUCGA
rnacentral:tRNA from 1 species